UUCGGUGUCCGAGUUGUAAUCUCUAGAAAUGUUUUCCGCGUUGGACCGCACACAAGUCUGUUGGAAUACAGCGGCAUAGUGGUGAGACCCCCGUAUAUGGUGCGGACGCCCAGCGCUUUGUGAUACAUUUUCGAAGAGUCGAGUUGUUUGGGAAUGCAGCUCAAAUUGGGUGGUAAAUUCCAUCUAAAGCUAAAUAUUGGCGAGAGACCGAUAGCGAACAAGUACCGUGAGGGAAAGAUGAAAAGCACUUUGGAAAGAGAGUUAACAGUACGUGAAAUUGUUGGAAGGGAAACGCUUGAAGUCAGACUUGCUUGCCGAGCAAUCGGUUUGCAGGCCAGCAUCAGUUUUCCGGGAUGGAUAAUGGUAGAGAGAAGGUAGCAGUUUCGGCUGUGUUAUAGCUCUCUGCUGGAUACAUCUUGGGGGACUGAGGAACGCAG
rnacentral:rRNA from 1 species